rnacentral:lncRNA from 1 species
AGAAUAAUGAUGAAUAUGACGAUAAAGGUGAUGAAGAGCAUAGCGGGGUAAUAAAUGGGACAGGUCAGAAUCAACCUCUUCACAAACUGUAAUACAUUGAGCCCAAAAUAUAUCAGCUGUUUUCCACAGAAAUAUGCUGAAAUACCAUCUCAUUAUAUAAAGAUGGCAAAACUAUGGUAAUUAGUGUUAAUUGUUAUAAACACUAAUUACCGUUAUAUGUUUCAAAAUGUAGGAAUGUUUCAACAUUAUCAUCUACUGCAGGGGUGUUAUAUUCAAAUUCUUAUGGAGACCACUUAAGUGAUAAUUCAAAAUUAAAUGGAUUGCUUAAGGGACAAAACAAAGUUGACAGGCCUUCACCUUAAACAUUCAAAUGAGUUGCACUUAUUAAUAUUGACAUUUUAUAGCAAUGACUUCAUUUUACAAGAAAAUCAAAAUUUGAGAAAAUUUAUUUUCUGUGUAAAAUAAAUAGAUAAAAUUAAGUUUAUUUAAUUUAUUAUUCAAAUUAACAUGAUUUUACUUUAUUAUUCUGUUUAUGAAUUAUAAUAGUAAUUAAAUUAUGUAAAAUACAUGACUGUAAAAAUUGAUUAAUGCAGUGGAAAGAACUGCAGUGAGAGUGCUGGUUCCAUGCAGUCUGUAGACUGUAUGUUUGACAUAACUGAUUUAGUAUCAAGUUCCAAUACCUCCUCAAUUUUUAGAGAGAUUUGGUCUUAUCUUUUGAUUGCAAGUCUUCAGCAUUUGCUUUUAAUGCCACUUUCUAAUUAUUUACCAAGUAAUAAGCCCAUUUCAAACCUUCCACACCUGUGGAUAGGAUUAUUCAGUAUGAGAAUCAAUAGUUUGAUUUAGAUUUUAUCAGAGGUUUCUGAAUAGAAAAUUGAAGUGUUUCUAUGUGGCCAAUGCAGACAAUGUUUAUUAUCUGUAGGUUGAUUCACAAUUGUAAUGUAGAUGAUACUUGGUAAGCCUGGAAUGGCCCUACUAUUUAUAUCUUCUGGUUGGAAAGUAAUGUAAAAUCUAUAAAGCCCUGUGAAAAUGCUUUCAAUAAAAGUUGUUAGUAACCAAUGAAGAUCAGGAAUAUAUCUAUUCUUUAUGGGAAAACAAUAAAUAUAAUUUAUUAUAUUAGCAUUUUCAAAAUGUAGGAAUGUUUCAACAUUAAUAAAAUAAACAAUCUAAAAGUAUAUAAAUUUAAGAAAAAAUGCUUUUCUAACAUUCUUAGAAAAACAAUACUGCUAUUUUCUGGAUGGCCAUUUGGUAACAUGUUGGCUUGCUACCUGGAGAAUCCAGAUUCAAUUUUAAUACUACACUUCCAGAUUUUUUAAAGAGGAAUUGAGCCUGGCUCAUUGAAUCCUACUCUUCAUUUGAUGGUCACACUUACUGUGUGUAUGGGCAGCCUCUGAUAGAAUAUAUACAUAGUCAAUCUUACCAUACAAAAAUCAAACUAUACAAACCUUAUCAAGUAAUCUAUUAUUUAAAAAUUGAACUUUACUUUUAGUCAGAAAUUAAAGUUCAGUUAUUAAACAACAGAUGGCAUCACCUUAUCUUAUAUAUUUUAUAUAAUAUAAAAUAAUUUUGUGAAGAGGUUAACUCUGACCUAUCCUAUUUAUUAUU